GCUCGGGUGGUGCUCAGGUGCUCCUCUGCCUGGAACUUUGUCUCCCUGGCCCGGCUCUACCAUCUCAGAGGUCUCAGCUCAGAGAGGCCUUUGCCGUAGCCUGUCUGCAACCUCGCCCAUUGCUGUCUGUUCUAUCACCUUGUUUUGUCGCUACCGCGGAACCAGUUACCAUCCGGAGGUACUUUUUCCCUUUCUUUAUGUACUUAUUUCUUGGCUGCCUCCUUCGCCAGCCCAUAGUAGGUGCUCAAUCAAUACAUGUUGAAUGAAUCUUCUCCUUCGACUGGCUCUCGUACUCCUGAGGCUCAGAGGGGUUCAGCAGCUCUGGGGUUUGAACUCAGGCCCCCCUAGAACCCACAGCCUCCACCAUACUCUCUGUCCCCUACACACAUCUGUGGGUCAAACUCAGCCUUGGGUGGAGAAGACACAGUCUGUCAACAGGGUCCUUCACCAGUCUGGGCUUCUCCCCUGCCCCCACCCCCUCCCAGCCCCUCAACAGGUCAGGGGACUUCAGCUUUUCCCGCUACUGAGCCCGGAGACUGGAGACUGGAGAUCUGACUUGACCACACACCAUGGGGGAGAAUCCUACAGGCUGAGAUCGAGUCCUGCCGUCCGCAAGUACCUGCCUGGGCAACCUUGUGCAAAGCUCCUCUCUGAGCCUUGGUUUCCCCAUCUGUCAGAUGAGGGACUUAGACUGCGGGGGUCAGCAAAGCUCUCCGGUCAAGGGCCAGAGCGUCAUUAUUUGAGGCUUCGCAGGCCGCACGGUAUCUAUUGCGAUUGCUUGGUGUUGCCGUAGUGGAGCAAUGGCAGCCACGGGCGGGACGGAAACAAAUGAGCCUGGUUGUGUUCCAAUAAAACCUUAUUUACAAAAAGCAGAUGGUGGGCCACCUGCGGCCCCCAGGCCAUUGUGUGCUGACCCCCGGACUAGGCUCUCUCUCAAGAAACGUUAGGGUCAAGUAGUCUACCAUUUUUCGACAAAGGGCCGGUCCAGCCCGGACUUACUUGCUCAAGUAGAAGGCAAAGAGCUCCUGAGAAAUGAGACCCUGCUUCCAUAGGUUGUCGAAGACAGGGACGGUCCCUCUGAGGCUGAGGCUGGGGUAGGCCAGGCCCAGGAUGCCGUCGAAAACUGCGUAUUCCAUGAACUUGCCGGGCUCCCUCAGGCUCAGGCCAAACGCCUGGGCCACGUCAACGAGGCCUCCGAACUGUGGGAGAAGAGGGUGUUACCGGGGACGGAUUUGGAACGUGGCGCUGGGCUGGGCGGACGUGGGCAGGGAGAUACGACUAACACCGCAGAGAGAGACCGAGGCGUGGCCGUGCCCUGGGCGGACCUCAGGUGGCCGCGACACACCGGGACAGACCCACGCGUUGUCUGCGUGGCGCUGGGGAUUUUAACCCACACCUGCUCCCCCGUGACGCCAUGCCUUUGUCACAGGCGGGGAAACCGAGACUGGAAGCGGGACCAAACUGUUCCCACUUGAGGACAAAAGGAAGCGAGAGGAGGGUGGCCGUCUUAUUGGCAUUGCCAUGACGCGGUGACAGAAAUGGCGUGCGUCCCUCGCAAUUCAUUGUGGAUCCUGUGUCCGCCCAAGGGGUGUGUGUGUUCAGGUGCUUUGGAGGAGGCAGUCCAGGGUUUUUAUUAGAUUCUCGAAGGCCCCCGAGGGGAAGGACCCAUUUAUCAGGCCACUCCCACUCCUGUGGCCCCUGCUUUUUUGCCUGGGAGCCCGGAGCUGUCGGCUGCACCCAGACCCCGCCCCCCCGUAUCAGUUCCGCCCCUACCUCCCAAGCACCCCCCACCUGUGUGAGCCCUGCGCUGCCUCCCAGUGGGAAAGGGACUCCCUGUCGUCUAGAAUACCUCCCUAGGGACGCAGCCCCACAGGGCAGGCGGCCAGCUGCCGGGGGACUUUGGGAAAGACAGGUGCUCCCACCUGACCCCACAUCUAGUCCUCUAAGCAGUCAUCGCUCCCACGGCCGGCCUGCCGCAGCCUCCGGUUUCCCCGUUACCCGAACGGUGUCGUAGGCCAGAAAUCCUGACAUCGUCCCGGAGCCGUACUGGAGGUGGAUCGGCCGGCCCGAGAUCCGGAAGGUGGAGGACCGCAGAGGGUUGAAGACGUUGUGAUUAGCUGCAGACACAGGAGAGACGUCCAAAGAGACAGAGACGAAUAACAGAGACAUAGACAUGUGGAAAUGGAGAGAGAGCAGAGAAGAGACCCAGAAACAAAUGCAGGAGAAAUGCUGUUCCUAGACAGAACCAUGCCUGCGGUUGCACAGGUUGUGCACUGAGCAAUUCCAAGGAGCACCUGUUCACAUAGCUCGUAUGACUGGCACCCCUGGAGCAGUACAACCCUGCAGGCCUGCCCCAAGACACCCGGGGCCCCAAAGUGCACAUGUUCCCCCAAGGGUCCUGGAGGUACAUGCACUGGGAGCCUCAUUUGGAGAGGAGAUGGCUAGGGGGUCAAAUGUCACAGUGGAGACACUGAGGGACAGCACACUGCAUACAAGUGACUUGAGGUGAUGGGAUGGCACAGACCAAGGGCACUUACGAUGUCUCUCUGUUCCAGAGAUUAGGCUAGAGCAAUGGUAUGAUUGCACC